UGCUGUAAUGGAAAUCCUUUAUUUGUGACUCUUGUGGCCUUGUGUGAGAGUUUUUUCCUAAGAUGGACUACAGAGAACCAGAGAGAGUUUUAAAUGUCUUAUUACCAGAACUUAAAGACCUUUAAGCAGAUGAUCACUAACAGAAGGAUCAAAAAGGAGAAAGUAUAAGGAUCAAAAGGGAGAAAAUAUAAAGCUUAUUCUGUUGCCUCUUUAAAUUUAUGGAAAC
rnacentral:lncRNA from 1 species